rnacentral:rRNA from 1 species
AUACGGAGGAUGCGAGCGUUAUCCGGAUUUAUUGGGUUUAAAGGGAGCGUAGGUGGGAUAUUAAGUCAGCUGUGAAAGUUUGGGGCUCAACCUUAAAAUUGCAGUUGAUACUGGUUUCCUUAAGUACGGUACAGGUGGGCGGAAUUCGUGGUGUAGCGGUGAAAUGCUUAGAUAUCACGAAGAACUCCGAUCGCGAAGGCAGCUCACCGGGCCGGAACUGACACUGAUGCUCGAAAGUGCGGGUAUCAAACAGGAUUAGAUACCCUGGUAGUCCGCACAGUAAACGAUGAAUACUCGCUGUUUGCGAUACACGGUAAGCGGCCAAGCGAAAGCGUUAAGUAUUCCACCUGGGGAGUACGCCGGCAACGGUGAAACUCAAAGGAAUUGGCGGGG